CCUACGGGGGGCAGCAGUGGGGAAUAUUGCGCAAUGGGCGAAAGCCUGACGCAGCGACGCCGCGUGAGGGAUGAAGGUCUUCGGAUCGUAAACCUCUGUCAGCAGGGAAGAACGGUCACUGUGCUAAUCAGCAGUGAAUUGCCGGUACCUGCAAAGGCAGCACCGGCUAACUCCGUGCCAGCAGCCGCGGUAAUACGGAGGGUGCGAGCGUUAAUCGGAAUUACUGGGCGUAAGGCGCUCGUAGGCGGUAUGUCAAGUCAAGGGUGAAAUCCCCGCGCUCAAGGUGGGAACUGCCUUUGAAACUGGCAAACUGGAAUGUGUGAGAGGAUAGUGGAAUUCCAGGUGUAGGAGUGAAAUCCGUAGAUAUCUGGCGGAACAUCAGUGGCGAAGGCGACUAUCUGGCACAUAACUGACGCUGAGGAGCGAAAGCGUGGGUAGCAAACAGGAUUAGAUACCCUAGUAGUC
rnacentral:rRNA from 1 species